ACAACCAACCCAGCCCAGCGAACAGCCUCCAUCGUUCCCUUAUUUUCUCCUCUGCCUCCCGCGAACCCUCGCUGCCUCCACCAACGCCGGGCAAUUCCGGCUACUUCCGGCGGCCCUCACCAGAGUCCAGCACACCCACGAGCUCUCCUUGCGAUGGUUCUUCCUUCCCUCUGGCAAAAUCCGCUCCUCGCGGCAGCAAGCGCUCGCGCACGACCCCUCCCUGCGGCUAGGGUUUCGGCUGCGUCCAACUCCGGCGUGGUUUGCUACUUAAUUCUCAAAACAAUCAUGCGUUUGCAUCACCGUCCUAUGGAACCACGAAGCCGGAUCCAAUGAUUUCAGAGAACAUUUACUGUGUUUAUGGAUCACUACAUGUGAUCUGCUAGAACAAGCUACCGAAGCACCAGAACUGCUCUCUUUGAUGGCAUUGAAGAAGGUGGAAUACGAGCACCAGCUUAUUCUUCACAUGAGAUAGAUGAACAUGAGAAUGAGCAAGCUAUGGAUUGAUUGUAGAGAUCGAGUCAGCAUUCUCAAGAGGGUUGGUUCCACAUAAUGAUUGAAUAUCCGAAUGCUCCAUCUUUGUUUUAUGUAAAGAGUUGGUGUUUUCACAUAUUGAUUGUGCUUGUUUAUAUUCUAAAAAAAUGAUUGUGCAUGUUUAUCUUUUAACUGUAUCGCUUAGCUAAGAUCAUAAGAAGAUAUUUGUAGUUGUACGCUUUCUAAAAAUGAUAUCUUUUCCUCGCAAAACGAAGAGAUGAUCAACUUUAGGAAUUGCAACUUUAUCCAUGGUAACCAUGUGCAUUCCUAGACCAUUUAGUUUGAAUAGCCAGUGAGGAAUUAAGCAUAUAUUUUUGGCAUGAGCCCCUUUAAAUUGCUAGAUGAGAAGGAAUCUUAACUUAAUGAGCGUGAAUUGCAAUAUAUUAUUUGGUUGAACUGAUGCAAUUUGCUGAUGCCUUCUUGCUUGCUUGCUUGCGAAUGACCUGGGAAUUAUUUCUACUUGGUGCACAGCCUUUGCUUGUUGCAAUUUGCCUCAAAAGCUUGUAUUCAGAAUCUAUAACAAGAUUUCGUACUGCCUUGGAAUUCCUUAUCUCCUUUUACUUGUGGUCAUGCCUAGCACUAUCUUGGUUCAUUGUUUAAUUCCAGGAUUUGUGAGUUCCUAGUAGGGAACACAUGGACACGAAGCUGCAGCGAGGACGACGAUGAUAUCAACAUGGGGCUGCGGCGGUAACGAUGAUGACGACGAGAUCGACAUCGUCAUGGGGCUGCGGCGGCGACGACGACGACGGCAUCCUCACGGUGCUGCAGCGGCGGCGAUGAUGACGACAUCAACACCAUCAAACACGGGCUUGUGGAGGCGCCGGCGACAAUGACCUAUAGGCGUGGUGUAUAUUGUAUGUAUGUAUA